rnacentral:rRNA from 1 species
UCGAACGAGAAAGUGGAGCAUCCAUGAGUAAAGUGGCGUACGGGUGAGUAACACGUGGGUAAUCUACCUUUUAGUGAGGAAUAACUUUGGGAAACCGAAGCUAAUACCGCAUAAGCCUGAGAAGGGAAAGCAGCAAUGCGCUGAAAGAGGAGCCCGCGGCCGAUUAGCUAGUUGGUGAGGUAACGGCCCACCAAGGCUGAGAUCGGUAGCCGGCCUGAGAGGGCACACGGCCACACUGGCACUGAAACACGGGCCAGACUCCUACGGGAGGCAGCAGUGGGGAAUCUUGCACAAUGGGGGAAACCCUGAUGCAGCGACGCCGCGUGAGCGAUGAAGCCCUUCGGGGUGUAAAGCUCUUUCGGCAGGGAAGAUUAUGACGGUACCUGCAGAAGCAGCUGCGGCUAACUACGUGCCAGCAGCCGCGGUAAUACGUAGGCAGCGAGCGUUGUUCGGAGUUACUGGGCGUAAAGGGUGUGUAGGCGGCUCUCUAAGUUUGGUGUGAAAUCUCCCGGCUCAACCGGGAGGGUGCGCCGAAUACUGAAGGGCUAGAGUGUGGGAGAGGAAAGUGGAAUUCCUGGUGUAGCGGUGAAAUGCGUAGAUAUCAGGAGGAACACCGGUGGGUGUAGACGGCUUUCUGGACCAUAACUGACGCUGAGACACGAAAGCGUGGGUAGCAAACAGGAUUAGAUACCCUGGUAGUCCACGCCCUAAAGAUGCAUAUUUUGGUGUGGGUCAUUCAGUUGAUCCGUGCCGGAGCUAACGCGUUAAAUAUGCCCGCUGGGGAGUACAGU